AUUGAACGCUGGCGGCAGGCCUAACACAUGCAAGUCGAGCGGAGCGGCGUACGGGUAAGUAAUGCCUAGGAAUCUGCAUGGUAGUGGGGGAUAACGGCCGGAAACGGGCGCUAAUACCGCAUACGAUCAGCAGAGCAGAGGUGGGAUUAGCUAUUUGGUGGGGUAAAGGACUACAAAGGCGACGAUCCGUAACUGGUCUGAGGGGAGGAUCAGUGACACUGGAACUGAGACACGGUCCAGACGCCUACGGGAGGCAGCAGUGGGGAAUAUGGGACAAUUGGCGAAAGCCGGAUCCAGCCAUGCCGCGUGUGUGAAGAAGGUCUUCGGAUGGUAAAGCACUUUAAGUUGGGAGGCGUUACCAACAGAAUAAGCACCGGCUAACUUCGUGCCAGCAGCCGCGGUAAUAC
rnacentral:rRNA from 1 species